rnacentral:rRNA from 1 species
CUACGGGUUGCAGCAGUGAGGAAUAUUGCACAAUGGGCGCAAGCCUGAUGCAGCCAUGCCGCGUGUAUGAAGAAGGCCUUCGGGUUGUAAAGUACUUUCAGCGGGGAGGAAGGGAGUAAAGUUAAUACCUUUGCUCAUUGACGUUACCCGCAGAAGAAGCACCGGCUAACUCCGUGCCAGCAGCCGCGGUAAUACGGAGGGUGCAAGCGUUAAUCGGAAUUACUGGGCGUAAAGCGCACGCAGGCGGUUUGUUAAGUCAGAGGUGAAAUCCCCGGGCUCAACCUGGGAACUGCAUCUGAUACUGGCAAGCUUGAGUCUCGUAGAGGGGGGUAGAAUUCCAGGUGUAGCGGUGAAAUGCGUAGAGAUCUGGAGGAAUACCGGUGGCGAAGGCGGCCCCCUGGACGAAGACUGACGCUCAGGUGCGAAAGCGUGGGGAGCAAACAGGAUUAGAUACCCGUGUAGUC